UACGGAAGGGGCAAGCGUUGUUCGGAAUUAUUGGGCGUAAAGGGCGCGUAGGCGGCUCCAUAUGUCGGCGGUGAAAGCAUACAGCUCAACUGUAUUGAGCCGCGGAAACUGUGGGGCUUGAGGCUGGGAGGGGCUGGUGGAAUUCCCUGUGUAGCGGUGAAAUGCGUAGAGAUGGGGGAGAACACUUGUGGCGAAGGCGGCCAGCUGGACCAGUUCUGACGCUGAGGCGCGAAAGCGUGGGGAGCGAACAGG
rnacentral:rRNA from 1 species